rnacentral:lncRNA from 1 species
AACAGUAUACAAUUACUGUCUUUUGAUGAGGUAAAUAUGCGGUUUUAUUGACUUUUGAAAAACUGAUAUUCACUGAGGCCGACGGCCGAAGUGAAUAUCAGUUUUUCAAAAGUCAAUUAAACCCCAUAUUUACCGAAGCAAAAGACAGUAAUUGUUUUAUUCCAUAUUCCGAGAGAAGAAAAUGUAUAUAAUCACAAACAUAUAUACCAAAACAAAUUUUACAUGAAACAUUUUACCAUAACGUUGCAUGUAAAAGCGCGUGACGUUAAGCGCGGUGAAUAACACUUUCCCAGGUGAAUAUGCUUUUUUAUUCAAAAUCCAAUUCGUAUAGAGAAACC